rnacentral:lncRNA from 10 species
GGCAGGAGAACCAGCUGAACCCAGGAGGUAGAGGUUGCAGUGAGCUGAGAUUGUGCCACUGCACUCCAGCCUGGGGAACAGAGCGAGAUUCUGUCUCAAAAAUAAAAAUAAAAAUAAAUUUAAAAAAGAGUGAGGAAUGAGCUAGAAGAGACAUCAUGGCAGGAAGAUGGGGGACAGAUUCCUUCGGUCCUAAGGGACUAGGGUGCUGGGUUGAAUGAACAUUUUUCCAGAGGUUCUACAGUAAAUAUAAAGAAAUUAGAGCUAUACCCAAAUAAAUAUAUUAUUUGCCAAGGAUAUACUUCUUGACUUUUCCAAAAGUUGCCAAGAAUAAUCCAUUAGAAAAUCAGUAAUUUUAUGACCUUUAUGUCUGAACUCUUCUUUUCUGAAAGCUGGCAUAACACAGAAGAGAAACAGGAAGGGGCCCACAGCCCAGUCCAGCCAUUCCUUGUCUUUGAAUAGAAAAACCAAGCUAAUGCACAAAGAGUCUCCCAACGAACAAGGUGGCAUGUAGGCCCGUGCCUGUCUGUCUUCAUGCAAAAAUAAUUUAGCAUCAUCAGACAACUAAAUGCUCCAAAUAAAAAUGAUUUUCAGAUGACAGAAUUCUACCCUUUCAAAUGCCAAAACUUUCCUUUUAUAGAUAUUGACUCGAUAUCUUUUUAAACUAUAUAUACAAAUCACCUUAAGCUUUUGUUUAGUGUAAGAUCAUCAUUCAAACAUUCUUGUGUGUGUGUGUGUGUGUGUGUGUGUGUGUGUGUGUGUGUGUGUGUGUGUGAUGGAGUCUCGCUCUGCCAUCCUGGCUGGAGUGCAGUGGCACUAUCUCGGCUCGCUGCAGUGUCUGCCUCCCGGGUUCAAGCGAUUCUCCUGCUUCAGCCUCCCGAGUAGCUGGGACUAUAGGCGCGCACCACCACACCUGGCUAAUUUUUGUAUUUUUAGUAGAGACAGUUUUUCGCCAUGUUGGCCAGGCUGGUCUCAAACUUCUGGCCUCAAGUGAUCCACCCGCCUCAGGCUCCCAAAGUGUUGGGAUUAUAGGCGAGAGCCAUUGCGCCCGACCAUGUCAUCAUUUAAACAUUCUAAUGAAGGAGUUGGAUAAGAUAAUCUCUAAGACUUCUACCUAUGAAGUUCCUACAAUCCUUUAACUGUGAGAUGCCACAAGGAGAGCACCUGGAUCUAAGAAGUCAGCUCAACUGUUUGUACCAACCCUGAGAGGUCCCAGACUGCUCAUUCUGUGUUCAGUUCUGAGUUUCCCUGCUGCCUCCCUCACUGUCAGGCUAUUAGAGCAUAUUUUUCUUUGUUACCAAUGUAACUUGCCCUUCACAGUCUGUUCUUUCUUAGCUGGCCAUUGCCUACAAACUACGAUAGCCAGGUUUGUUAUAAUUCUAUGUUAAAUAAGAGUUAAUAGAUGAAGUCCUCUGCUAGGGGUCGAGCGUCUGGGUCCUAAUAAGGAUUCCUCAUUAGCUCAGAGAUCUUUCUGUCUUCUCCUAAGUUUACAGCUGAGCUCAGCAAGCAAAAGCUGCAACAAGUCUGAUCUUUGAAUGAGUGAGGAUUUAUUGGGCUAAAUUUGAUUCUGAAAUGGGUAUUUAACAGUUGUCAUUUGAUAAUGAUGAGGUCUGGACUCCUUCAAAAUCUUUGAGCAAAUAAGCUUUGCAUAGCAGUGCUAGCCGCAUGAUCUUUUUGGAGAAAUACUAGGACACUGGAAGAAGGUAUUCAUCAUCAGAGAAAAACACAGCUUUGCAUCCUGAUAUUCUCAGGCUCAGAAGAUUAGUAAGUCUCAGUUUCUCUUUCUCAUUCCCUGACCAUUCUGCUCUUUUACCUCCUCCAAAUGCAGAUUCUGAUAUAUGCUUUUUUUGUUCAAUCUUUCUUUUUCUAAAUGUACAUAUUCUCUCUGACAUGGUCACUCUGCUUGUCUCUGUCUUUCUUUCUUUUAUUUUAGUUGGUAUCUCUGCUGCUGUAUAUUUGGGCCCAAUUCCAAAUAUCUCUGUAUCUGUUUUUUGAUGCAUCUCCAAGACUCUUCUGCUUGACUUUUGCUCUAUCUCUGCUGACCCACACUCUAACACUCACUGUCUGUCAGUCUUCUCUGGGUAUCAUUGUCUAAGUAAAACACAAGUCAGUGUACAGACAGCGUUGGGAUCGGCCAGAGGCAGAUAAACAUGGUAGCCUAUCUUCACAGUUUGUACUUUUCCUAGAUGUCAGAUGGGGAGUGGAUUAGCAAUGGCCUCAGUCCCUAGACACUGUGCAAUACCCUGAUAGUCAGUCUUGUAUCCCGCCCCGAGGCUCCACUCCCUUGACAAUGGAUCUGAAAGCUUUCUUGUACUCAGAAUCAUCAGAUGGAAAGGCCCACCCUUGUAGUCCCUGACCACCAUGUUAUGUAGAUGGCUGCUCCCAGUAGUAAGAAAUCCAUGAAUGGGAAGAUGGUUCCCAGGAACAUUCACCCAGCAACAAAAAAAUUAAACACAAAUUGGGGCUUGAAUUUUUGUGGCAAUCAAUGACUGAAAAAAAAAUAGAAAAAAGAAGGACAUGACCUUUUUAAAGACAAAUGAAGACUCAUUUUCAGUAACUAGAGUCUUAAAAACUAUUUUAAUCUGAAUGCAGAUCAUUGUUUACCCACAGAGAGUUUUAUGACAAUGAUUUCACUGACAUGCAGAAUCAAAUAUUAUGAUCACCACCAGCAGCCAAAAAACCCUAUUCUUUGCCCAAGGAGUAGUAGAAAUGUAGACUAGACAGACAAACAGGGUCUCCUAUUUUGCCUCAUUAGUGCCACACUCUAUACAACUACAGUCACGAAGGGGUCACAUUUGGUUAUAAUUACUAUUAGAAUAAUAUGGGAGUGUGAUGUUUGUGGUGGAAACUUGCCCAUGACUUAUGUAACCAUUUCUGCUGACAAAUUUUAGGAUCUAAAAACUUUGUGGGUUUUUUUGUUUUGUUUUUGUUUGUUUGUUUUUG